rnacentral:rRNA from 1 species
UACGUAGGGGGCAAGCGUUGUUCGGAAUUACUGGGCGUAAAGGGCUCGUAGGCGGCCAACUAAGUCAGACGUGAAAUCCCUCGGCUUAACCGGGGAACUGCGUCUGAUACUGGAUGGCUUGAGUUCGGGAGAGGGAUGCGGAAUUCCAGGUGUAGCGGUGAAAUGCGUAGAUAUCUGGAGGAACACCGGUGGCGAAGGCGGCAUCC